rnacentral:rRNA from 1 species
UACGUAGGGUGCGAGCGUUGUCCGGAAUUACUGGGCGGAAAGGGCGCGUAGGCGGCCGAUCAAGUUAGAUGUGAAAGUCCUGGGCUCAACCUGGGGACUGCAUUUGAUACUGAUUGGCUUGAAUCGGGAGAGGAUAGCGGAAUUCCCAGUGUAGAGGUGAAAUUCGUAGAUAUUGGGAAGAACACCAGUGGCGAAGGCGGCUAUCUGGACCGGUAUUGACGCUGAGGCGCGAAAGCGUGGGGAGCAAACAGG